rnacentral:rRNA from 2 species
AGAGUUUGAUCCUGGCUCAGGAUGAACGCUGGCGGCGUGCCUAAUACAUGCAAGUCGAGCGAACGGACGAGAAGCUUGCUUCUCUGAUGUUAGCGGCGGACGGGUGAGUAACACGUGGAUAACCUACCUAUAAGACUGGGAUAACUUCGGGAAACCGGAGCUAAUACCGGAUAAUAUUUUGAACCGCAUGGUUCAAAAGUAAAAGACGGUCUUGCUGUCACUUAUAGAUGGAUCCGCGCUGCAUUAGCUAGUUGGUAAGGUAACGGCUUACCAAGGCAACGAUGCAUAGCCGACCUGAGAGGGUGAUCGGCCACACUGGAACUGAGACACGGUCCAGACUCCUACGGGAGGCAGCAGUAGGGAAUCUUCCGCAAUGGGCGAAAGCCUGACGGAGCAACGCCGCGUGAGUGAUGAAGGUCUUCGGAUCGUAAAACUCUGUUAUUAGGGAAGAACAUAUGUGUAAGUAACUGUGCACAUCUUGACGGUACCUAAUCAGAAAGCCACGGCUAACUACGUGCCAGCAGCCGCGGUAAUACGUAGGUGGCAAGCGUUAUCCGGAAUUAUUGGGCGUAAAGCGCGCGUAGGCGGUUUUUUAAGUCUGAUGUGAAAGCCCACGGCUCAACCGUGGAGGGUCAUUGGAAACUGGAAAACUUGAGUGCAGAAGAGGAAAGUGGAAUUCCAUGUGUAGCGGUGAAAUGCGCAGAGAUAUGGAGGAACACCAGUGGCGAAGGCGACUUUCUGGUCUGUAACUGACGCUGAUGUGCGAAAGCGUGGGGAUCAAACAGGAUUAGAUACCCUGGUAGUCCACGCCGUAAACGAUGAGUGCUAAGUGUUAGGGGGUUUCCGCCCCUUAGUGCUGCAGCUAACGCAUUAAGCACUCCGCCUGGGGAGUACGACCGCAAGGUUGAAACUCAAAGGAAUUGACGGGGACCCGCACAAGCGGUGGAGCAUGUGGUUUAAUUCGAAGCAACGCGA